UUUAAAGUACAAAGAAAAAAAAACAUUUAAUAAGUGCAUUCAAUGACCCAACUCACGUUUGUUGGUGUUGCCGGGUCUCAGGGUUCAGGUCGGCGUCUGCGGGCUGAAUGGAGUAGUGGUUCCCGUAGUCGGUAGGGUCCUGGGUCCGCGUAAACCUCUGUCCUCGGUGCUGAAAACGGCCAGUGUUAGCGUCGGGGUCCCCCCUUCUCCAACCUGGGAACGGGUCGGCAUCUCGAGUGCCUUCCACCAUGGCAAGCCUUGCAUCCUGCCGCGCGCGAGAAAACGACUCGGGGUCCCUCGAGCGGCGGUGGAACUUUGGCGAGGUUGUGGUCGGCGCAGGCUCCCCGAGUGAGGGAGACCGGUAAACGGUUUCCUGAGACGUCAGAUGUGAUUACUGCGGCAAACGUCUCGUUAGCCUGAAAAGAUGAGAUACUGCAGGACGGGAACGUUCUUGGAAAAAUCAGGCAUGACGGCCCUGAGAAGGAGAGCAGCCCGCAUCAGUCAGGGUUUC
ensembl:lncRNA